GAUGAAGAACGUAGCGAAAUGCGAUAAGUAAUGUGAAUUGCAGAAUUCAGUGAAUCAUCGAAUCUUUGAACGCACAUUGCGCCCCUUGGUAUUCCGAGGGGCAUGCCUGUUCGAGCGUCAUAUUAACCACUCCCGCUUGCGGGGUCUUGGGCUUCGCCUCCAGGCGGGCCUUAAAAUCAGUGGCGGUGCCGUCGGGCUCUACGCGUAGUAAAUUUUCUCGCGAUAGGGUCCCGGUGGAUGCUUGCCAACAACCCCCAACUUCUUAAGGUUGACCUCGGAUCAGGUAGGGAUACCCGCUGAUCUUAAGCAUAUCAAUAAGCGGAGGA
rnacentral:misc_RNA from 1 species